CACGACCUGAGCCGAAGGCAGUCGCUUAACCAACUGAGCCACCCAGGCGCCCGAGAACAGUUUUCUUUAAAGAAGCUGGGCUUGGCCUUCCUCUGGCCCUUCAACUGUAAUCUGGAAUUUCCUAAGCCUGAGGAUGGAGCUAAGGCCCAGUUAAGAAUGUGGGGGUUUGAGAGCAGCACUCCACUCCCCCAAACCUACUUACUCAGGGUUCAGGCCCCUCGUAUUCCAUCGCAUCACACAGAGCGCAUGAGGGGGCUGUUCACCACAGCCAAAGCUUUGUUUCAAAAACUCAUGGUAUGGGACUCCGCAACAGAUGCUUAGUAAAAAGUUGCAGUUUAGAACCCCCUCCCCCAGAACUAGAUCUGGGGCCCCAGAGAUGCUGGGCUCUGGGCGCCACCUCUAGUCAGUUUCUCUGUGACUGAGAAUCCUCACCUGGCCUUUUCUGUGCUCGGAGUUCUCAAGGACAAACAGGACUUCUCUUGGUUCCUUACUUUUUGGUCCUUCGCCUCCAGUUCUUUAGCUUAGAGAAGAGUGUGGACCUUCCAGACAAGACCCAACCUUGCCUAAGGGCAUCGGGCCAGAGCUUCCUCUCCUUCUCCUCAUCACAUGCCACAGCGAGUCGGUGGUUUGGAAAAGUCCCUGACCAACUAGGUCUUGUGGAUGUACUUGAGGACGGUGAAGUUGGUCACUAGAACCCUGAGGGAAAAGGUCAGAGCUGAGCGCAGAGGUCUCCUUUCACAAAAUUUUCUCCUCCCACCUCUUCCUCAUCUGUUUUGCUAGAGGCUGGUACAGGCCAGAAAGUCCUGAGAGUAGGAGGGGACAAGAGCUGAGCCAGAGUCUGGGCCACGUUCUUGUUCCUGGGGAGUGCCUGGGUCUGGUGGGAGCAGCACCCCAUUCUCUCAACAAGUCUCCGAACUUGGCGUGUUAGAACAAGGAUCACCAGAGCACAACCUAAUUACCUUGCCUCCUCUGCUUCCCUACUUGGGACUAGCAGCAGCUUAAAGGUAGAAAAGCUGCCUAGCAUGAGGUAGGGAAGGAAAAAUUGGUUGUAUGUUAGCAAGGGUGGUGGGGAGCGCACAAUCACAGGCGGUAGAGUGACGGCAAGAUCAACAUUUACACCAAAAAGCCAAGGUCUGUCCGCUCCAGGCCUGGGGCCUCCGCCAAUCACACCACCUGAUGAAAGUUGCCCUUGUCCGCCUUGGCUCAAGACCCCUGCAGUCCACACUACAUCUGGAGGCUUCAGCAGCGCCUGGAUAUUCUUCCCAGCUCACGGGCAUUCUUGGGUCCUUUAUGUGCCCGUAGGCUCUGUUUGUUGCCCGUGUUCCCUGAACCUAAAAACGGGGCCUGGUUCAUUCUGCAGAGACAGGAAGUCAGGAGGGCACUGGGGCUCACAGGCCAGCCCUGCUCACCACCCUCACCCCCCCCACCCCGGGACACAGUGUGGUGCUCAUCGGUGGAGGUCCCAUGGCUCGAAGACUGCAGACUCCCCGAGUCCCGCACUGUUCAGUGCAGGACUGGCGUGGGCAGGUCUUGGAGUUUUGCUGCGGCCUGGGGAUCAGCUGAAAUAGUUCCUCCUUGGCCUGCUGGCCUGGGUUGGGUCUCCCAGCGUUGGUGCCUGUGGAGAAGAGCACAGACCACUAGCCGCUUGACCUCCAUGUUCUCACACAGAGGAGGCUGGACUUCAUCGGAGUAGAGAAAGGAGUCAGGGAGGAGAUAGAGCCCAGGAGCUCUGGAGAUGGUCUCCAGCUUCAUGAGGAGCUUCGGGGCCCAUCUGGAAGCACUGGUCAAACGAGGCAGACAGCCUGCGGGUGAAAGCAGGCUAUGCAGAUGCAGCGCCGUGAUCUGAGUAUUCCAGCCCUACCUGGCAGCUCCAAGAGUCUAAGGCUCGUGGCAGGCCAAGACUAGCCUCACAUUCUAGCUGGCUGAUUCCCUGGCCUUCUGCUGUCGCACUGUGGCUUAACAAGUUGUACUGGAGUGGAUGUAACUCCCUUCUCUGUGUAAGGGCCCAUCUCUUGUCUGCCCAACUCCAAAUAUAGAAACCUUGUGGAGAAAAUGGGCUGCUUGCUGCCCCUGCCCCUAAUCCAGCUCUUCAUUCACCUGGCAAAUACUCGUUAAACCUGCGUGUCACAAAGCUGCACAAUGAGCACUGAAAAGAGGAGCUCUUCUCCAGGGAAGGCACGCCUGGACAUAUACAAACACUCGCAGAAUGACCUGGAGGUCCAGAAGAGACUCACUGGCCGCUCGUUGAAGCCAGAGAAAGUGUCACAGAACAUCUUGGUGGACGAGAGGGCUGGAGAGCCCUUUCAAAGUGUUUCCAAGCUGAUUGGAUGGAUACCCUGGGUUUAUGGGGUCCAGGGGUGCACCUGUGGGUCCCAAGAACGAUGGCAGGCUCUUGGAGCUCUAACCAGCUAAACCGCUCAAGUCAGACCUUCCUGACCAGAGCAGAAGCAUCAGCCACAGGUGAACAUCAAGGCAGCCCAUGAGCCUAAAAUCCACCAUGAAGGCUUCAUUACUGUCCCACGCUCAAGGCCAAGUGGCCGGCUGACUCAGACACCAAACACUGGGAAAGGUAGGAAGCUGUGGUCACCGACUUCACCAGCACCCCACUGCGCUGGCCACCUCCUUCACGGUCACCUGCUAAGCUCUACAGGAUUCGCCCCUGGAGGCUGAGGAGAGGGAGGGGAGAGGCAACAUUUGGUGUAUCCUGUGGCCUCCCUGGAGGAGAAGGGGUUGAUGCCCCAUGGGGUUCUUCAUGCCAGCCCAGUAUCAGGGACCCCACCACACAAGUCACAUUGUGAAUUCCUGCAUGGAGGCCUUGUGGAUAACCGCCUUCCCCUUGGCAUUCAGCCCAGGGCCCAGCAGACAAGGGAGGGCUUGGAAAUCAAGUGUAAUGGGGACGGGAAUAAAACAGGCAAGACUGUGUGCCAAGGCCGGUGUGGGGCACCUCUCUGAGAUGGGGGCCUCUCUUGCUGGUGCAGCGUUGCUGGGCAGGAAGCAGACAGGGGAAAGGAAGAGCCUCCUGGCCCCUCGUGAGAAAAGAAUCUACAGGAAAACUUCGUGAUGUGGUUAAAAGUACAUUUCUGUCCACUCAAACUUUUUUUUUCUCCACAGAUUUUGGUUUCAUUUAUUUAAAAUGAAACCAGUGCACGCACCUGGUUACAAAAUUAAGUAGAAAAGAAGGUAGCAGUUUCCCAUCCAAUUCUUUUCCAACCUCUCUCUGGGGACAGCCAAUGCUUGAAGACUCUAUUUUUGUAGUGGAUAAUGUUAUUCCUCUAAAUAAUAUGUUUAUAUGAUGUCAUGAUGGGUCAAGUACCUAGAAUAACAUGACGAUGGGCUGGGGCACUGCUCUCACCUUUGGGGAUUUUUGGGCUAUGGCUCCACGCUAGACCGGCCGGGAUGCUGCAGCAACCUUGGGGAGGCGUGUACGUGUGUGCCUGGUCAUAUGAGGGUAUAUGCAUUUUGUUAGUGUCUGUGUGCUUAUUGGGCAGACAGGGAGGUCGAAUGUAGUGGAUAUUUGUUUUACACACCAAGCAACUGCACACCCUCAUUGACUGAGGCUAUUUAAUUGCCUUGAACCACCGUUUCUACAAAGAAAGCAGGAUAAAUGCUUCCCCCUCCCCAGUUGAUGUAAUAGUCUCCGCCAACAAAUUGUUUUUAUUUCUGAGUCUCAUUAUGGACUCGGGAUUUUUAAUGUAUUCCCUGUGAGUCCAUCACGACAAGUGCUAUUUUUGAUGAUCAGAUCUUCCCAACUUUGAGGUCUGGGUUUUCCUUCUACUUUUCCUGUCCAGACUUGGAAUCUUUCCAUGGGAAAGAAGUGUUUAGAAAACAAAAUCUGAGUUCCGGGAUCCAUCAUUGCUACUGGUAUGUUCAGGCUUUUAGACUGUUCAGAUGCCAGAGCAGAAAAUGUAUUUGGAAAAUCGUGAGUUCACGGUGGUGUUGGUUGCACAACAGUGUGUACUUAAUGCCCUUGAACUGCACGCUUUAAAAUGGUUAAAAUGGCAAAUGUUAUGUAUAUUUUGCCACAAUAAAAAAUAACUUAAAAAUUGAGCUUA